CGUCGAAGGUGGGGCUGAUGACUGGGGUGAAGUCGUAACAAGGUAUCCGUACCGGAAGGUGCGGAUGGAUCACCUCCUAACAGGGAGACAACACAAUGAUUUUGAUGCCUGAGUGCUUUUAUUCUUAGGUCAAAAUCCUGUCACCUUAGGUCGAUCGGUACCUCAGCUUUGAAGUUAAGGAUCAGCAGCAAUGUUGAUUGCUUUAUGGAGAUUUUCAGUUCCUAAACUUUGUCUAGGUCACACCCCAAAAAGGGAUGAGACUCCUGGGCCAUUAGCUCAGGUGGUUAGAGCGCACCCCUGAUAAGGGUGAGGUCCCUGGUUCAAGUCCAGGAUGGCCCAUUCGGUGUUGGGGGUUUAGCUCAGUUGGUAGAGCGCCUGCUUUGCAAGCAGGAUGUCAGGAGUUCGAGUCUCCUAACCUCCACUGACCGAACUUGAUUCCCAUCUCCAAUUCUCUUGGAGUUGAGCUCGAUUGGAGUGUGAUUUAGAUGUGUCCGCUGGAUGACCCCAGCUUCCUGUCAUUCCAAGUUUUAGGUUGAAGCCUUGAAUUUGGUUGAUAAGAUGCUGGGCUCAAAUCGAGUGAUCAAGCAAUUGAUGAUUUGAUUUGAAGUUCUAGCAGAACCUUGACAACUGCAUAGGUGAGUCUGGAAAAAACAAAGCAUCUUACAGAUGCAUUGUUUUGAAUCUGAUCUUCUGAAAGGAAAAUUAGAUCUAGAACAAUGAAAAUUCUUUUGAGCAAGAGCCGAGACUCUUGAACGUUCUUUGAUUCGUGUCGAGCGAAUCAGAGUUUGAUCUUGUUUUUAGCAAUAAAAACUUGAGAAUCUGCUUUCAACGGCGGUAAGCGUUCAGGAGGUUAAUUGGUCAAGCUACAAAGGGC
rnacentral:misc_RNA from 1 species